UGCCCUAGUAACGGCGAGUGAAGCGGCAACAGCUCAAAUUUGAAAUCUGGCUCUUUCAGAGUCCGAGUUGUAAUUUGCAGAGGGCGCUUUGGCUUUGGCAGCGGUCCAAGUUCCUUGGAACAGGACGUCACAGAGGGUGAGAAUCCCGUACGUGGUCGCUAGCUAUUGCCGUGUAAAGCCCCUUCGACGAGUCGAGUUGUUUGGGAAUGCAGCUCUAAAUGGGAGGUAAAUUUCUUCUAAAGCUAAAUAUUGGCCAGAGACCGAUAGCGCACAAGUAGAGUGAUCGAAAGAUGAAAAGCACUUUGGAAAGAGAGUCAAACAGCACGUGAAAUUGUUGAAAGGGAAGCGCUUGCAGCCAGACUUGCUUGCAGUUGCUCAUCCGGGCUUUUGCCCGGUGCACUCUUCUGUAGGCAGGCCAGCAUCAGUUUGGGCGGUGGGAUAAAGGUCUCUGUCACGUACCUCUCUUCGGGGAGGCCUUAUAGGGGAGACGACAUACCACCAGCCUAGACUGAGGUCCGCGCAUCUGCUAGGAUGCUGGCGUAAUGGCUGUAAGCGGCCCGUCUUGAAACACGGACCAAGGAGUCUAACAUCUAUGCGAGUGUUUGGGUGUCAAGCCCGAGCGCGUAAUGAAAGUGAACGGAGGUGGGAACCCGCAAGGGUGCACCAUCGACCGAUCCUGAAGUUUACGGAAGGAUUUGAGUAAGAGCAUGGCUGUUGGGACCCGAAAGAUGGUGAACUAUGCUUGAAUAGGGUGAAGCCAGAGGAAACUCUGGUGGAGGCUCGCAGCGGUUCUGACGUGCAAAUCGAUCGUCAAAUUUGGGCAUAGGGGCGAAAGACUAAUCGAACUAUCUAGUAGCUGGUUCCUGCCGAAGUUUCCCUCAGGAUAGCAGUAACGUAUUCAGUUUUAUGAGGUAAAGCGAAUGAUUAGAGGCAUNGGGGGUUGAAACAACCUUCACCUAUUCUCAAACUUUAAAUAUGUAAGAAGCCCUUUGUUACUUAAUUGAACGCGGGCAUUUGAAUGAAACGUUAUUAGUGGGCCAUUUUUGGUAAGCAGAACUGGCGAUGCGGGAUGAACCGAACGAGGGGUUACGGUGCCGGAGUACACGCUCAUCAGACACCACAAAAGGUGUUGGUUCAUCUAGACAGCAGGACGGUGGCCAUGGAAGUCGGAAUCCGCUAAGGAGUGUGUAACAACUCACCUGCCGAAUGAACUAGCCCUGAAAAUGGAUGGCGCUCAAGCGUGUCACCUAUACCCCUCCGCCGGGGCAAAAUUUACGCCCCGGCGAGUAGGCAGGCGUGGAGGCUCGUGACGAAGCCUUGGGGGUGACCCCAGGUCGAACGGCCUCUAGUG
rnacentral:rRNA from 1 species